GCGGGUGUAGUUCAAUGGUAGAACAUCAGCUUCCCAAGCUGAAUACAUGGGUUCGAUUCCCAUCACCCGCUCCA
rnacentral:tRNA from 1 species